GACGAACGCUGGCGGCGUGCUUAACACAUGCAAGUCGAACGGAAAGGCCCUGCUUGCAGGGUACUCGAGUGGCGAACGGGUGAGUAACACGUGGGUGAUCUGCCCUGCACUUCGGGAUAAGCCUGGGAAACUGGGUCUAAUACCGGAUAGGAGCCAUUUUUAGUGUGAUGGUUGGAAAGUUUUUUCGGUGUAGGAUGAGCUCGCGGCCUAUCAGCUUGUUGGUGGGGUAAUGGCCUACCAAGGAGGCGACGGGUAGCCGGCCUGAGAGGGUGGACGGCCACAUUGGGACUGAGAUACGGCCCAGACUCCUACGGGAGGCAGCAGUGGGGAAGAUUGCACAAUGGGCGCAAGCCUGAUGCAGCGACGCCGCGUGGGGGAUGACGGCCUUCGGGUUGUAAACUCCUUUCGCUAGGGACGAAGCUUUUUGUGACGGUACCUAGAUAAGAAGCACCGGCUAACUACGUG
rnacentral:rRNA from 1 species